GCUUGGAUGGCUCAGUUGGUUAGAGCGCAGGUCUCAUAUUUCGCAUAUGACCGCCCUUGUGGUGGGUAAUCCUGAGGUCAUGAGUUCGAUCCUCAUUCCGAGCA